CGGGAGGAGUAACGCGUGAGGAGCCUGCCUCAAAGAGGGGACGAACAGUUGGAGACGACUGCUAAUACCGCAUAAGCCCACGGGUCGGCAUCGACCUGAGGGAAAAGGAGCAAUCCGCUUUGAGAUGGCCUCGCGUCCGAUUAGCUAGUUGGUGAGGUAAUGGCCCACCAAGGCGACGAUCGGUAGCCGGACUGAGAGGUUGAACGGCCACAUUGGGACUGAGACACGGCCCAG
rnacentral:rRNA from 1 species